UACGUAGGUGGCGAGCGUUGUCCGGAAUUACUGGGUGUAAAGGGAGCGUAGGCGGGGGAUCAAGUUGGAUGUGAAAUACCGCAGCUUAACUGCGGGGCUGCAUCCAAAACUGGUUCUCUUGAGUGAAGUAGAGGCAGGCGGAAUUCCUAGUGUAGCGGUGAAAUGCGUAGAUAUUAGGAGGAACACCAGUGGCGAAGGCGGCCUGCUGGGCUUUAACUGACGCUGAGGCUCGAAAGCGUGGGGAGCAAACAGG
rnacentral:rRNA from 1 species